CUCGCCACAGGUCCUGCGCCGCGCAUCGCGCUGCCUCGGGUGGGCCGCUCGGGCUGUCGAGAGAGAGAGACAGGAGGCGGGCUUUUCCUCCCUACUUCCUACCAAAACCACUCACACGUAACACUCUCGACACACCUGCUACUACACCAUCCACCGUCUGUGGCACACCGUCUCGAGCCCGCCGUUCCUCGGUGAAUCCGGCCGCGAGUGAGACUGCCCGGCGCUGUCGCUGCCGUGUUCUUCUUCCCUUCACCGGCUGCUGCGAAGAAAGUGGUGCAGCCGGCCUUUGGAUUCGGCGCCACCGGCGACGGUAGCGAAGAAGCCCCGGAGAAGUCGCUGUGUCGUCGUCGGGGAGCAGACGACGUCAAGCGGCGGCGGUGCUGCGUCGUCUGCAGCGGACGACCAACGGCGGGCGGUUGCGUAAAAACGGCUUCGCGCCACCGUCCCCCUUUGCCGAGGAGGUCCCGUCGUGACGAGGCCACGCCUUUCGACGGCCCUGCCUUGCCGAGGUUGUGCCCGGCUUGCACUGAAAGCAACUGCGUUAUCAAGUAGAGUCGACUGUUGAUCGUCUGCGCUGGGAACAACCUGACCGUGCUGCCCGUGAACCGGAACGAUAGGAUGACCAGCUGCGCGGAUCACAUCGAGAAGGGACCCCGUUCUCCUCCGCACCUCGGAUGAUCCGUUUCAAACGAGCAUGGUGCUCCGGGGCGCGCCUGGAAGUGGCGAGCGUCCCGAGCCGUGCGACCCCGGAUGCAGAUGACCAGCGCGGCAGCUCGGCCCGGCAGGACGCCAUGGCCGUCAAGUGGGAGAAGCUCUCUCCGGCGGAGUUCCAGCAGCUGCAGGACUACGUUCAAUAUUCAUCAAAGAAGCUUCCAGAUGUUCUUGAGGAAUUCAAGGAGAAUGGAGCCCUGUCCAAGUACAACGCCGAAGGGGACAUCGACCUGGAGGGUUUCCAGGCGUUCAUGGACACCUACCUGGAGAUGGACACUCCCCGGGACCUUGUCAAACACCUAUUCCUCUCGUUCGUCCGAAAGCCCGCUCCGCCGCGCGCACAGAUCGCCGAUGGACGGCUGCUCAAGAUGGCGGCCGUGACGUCGACGACUGCGUGCGCGCCCAUCACCUCGCACACUGCGGCGGCGCACAGCGGGUCCCUUCCGGAGCUGGCCAAGCAGGCAGCACAGGGUGGUGGCACGGCCACGCAGGGCGGCAUCGCGCAGGCGACAGCGCACGGCGCGGGCCUGGAGCAGCCGCAGCAGGCGACCCGCCGCACCGAGGAACGACCGCAUCUGCAUUUGGGCUUCGCCGAGCGGCUGCACGGCCUCACAGAGAAGCUGCACAGCCACCUGCGAGGAGAGGGCGCUGAUACCAGGGGGCGCACAGGGAGUGCUUCUAUCCACCCGGUGGUGACGGUGACGCAGAACUACGGUGACUCGACCGACUCCUCACCCAACCAGAGCCAAGUGUCGCGGAACUCUUCCAGAAAGUCAAACAGCUCACUGCUCGUGCACAGCGUGGACUUGAAGCCUCUGCGGAAAACGAGCAGCCAUAUCGAUGUUCACACUGUGCGCGUCCCCCUCAAAGAUAUCAUCUGCUACCUCUCGCUCAUGGAAGCCGGGCGGCCCGAGGACAAGCUGGAAUUCAUGUUCAGAUUAUACGACACAGAUGGAAACGGUUACCUUGACAACAAUGAGACAGAGUGCAUAGUGAAUCAAAUGAUGAGCGUCGCCGAGUACCUCGGUUGGGACGUGUCAGAGCUGAAGCCGAUCCUUCAAGAGAUGAUGGUGGAGAUCGACUACGACGCCGACGGAACUGUGUCGCUAGAAGAAUGGAAGCGUGGUGGCAUGACCACCAUCCCGCUGCUUGUGUUGCUCGGGCUGGACGCUAACGUCAAAGAUGACGGCAACCACGUUUGGCGCCUUAAGCACUUCAACCGGCCUGCCUACUGCAAUCUCUGCCUGAACAUGCUUGUCGGGCUCGGAAAGAAAGGACUCUGCUGCGUCUUCUGCAGGUAUACUGUCCAUGAACGUUGCGUGCAGAGGGCGCCUGCAUCGUGCAUUAACACUUACGUCAAGUCCAAGAAGAGCUCGCAGGCUCUAGUUCAUCACUGGACGGAAGGUAACUGCACGGGAAAAUGCAGCAAGUGCAAAAAGGCUAUCAAAAGCUACAAUGGCAUCACCGGACUACAUUGCCGCUGGUGCCAAAUGACGCUUCACAACCAUUGCGCUCCGCAAGUGAAGCCCGACUGCGGCCUUGGACCACACCGAGACCACAUCCUGCCGCCAACAUCUAUAUGCCCUGCUGUCUUGGAGAGGCAACGAAGUGUCGGCAGCGGCCAGAAGAAACAGCUGUCUAGGUCAGAUUCCAACAAGGUUUCCGACAGCGGCCAAGGAAAUGUUUCUGCCAUGUCAUUCCAAGUCACACCCGUCUCUGGAACCCAUCCCCUUCUAGUGCUCAUCAACCCCAAGAGUGGAGGUCGACAGGGUAUGAGAAUAUUAAGAAAAUUUCAGUACUUGCUGAAUCCUCGACAAGUGUACAAUGUUGCCAAAGGGGGACCAAUUCAAGGGCUUCAAUUUUUUAAGGACAUCUCGAAUUACCGGGUCUUGUGUUGCGGAGGCGACGGUACAGUGGGCUGGGUGCUUGACACAAUAGACAAGCUAAACUAUGCCCAGCUUCCUCCAGUAGGAAUCCUCCCUCUUGGAACAGGGAACGACCUGGCGCGGUGUCUUCGGUGGGGACCAGGUUACGAAAACGAGAGCCUAGAGAAGAUACUGCAGAAAGUCGAGAAAUCCACGACAGUCAUGAUGGACCGCUGGAAGAUCGACAUCAGCAACACAGCAAAUUCGGACGAGCGUGGUGACCCUAUUCCCUGCAACAUCUUCAACAACUACUUUUCCAUAGGCGUGGACGCGUCAAUAGCGAUCAAGUUUCAUUUGGAAAGGGAGAAGCAUCCUGAAAAGUUCAACAGCAGGAUGAAGAACAAAAUGUGGUAUUUCGAAUUCGCCACGUCUGAGACGUUCUUCGCAACGUGUAAAAAUCUCCACGAUGACGUCGACAUCAUGUGCGAUGGCGUCUCGCUGGAACUGUCCAACGGCCCGUCGCUUCAGGGCAUCGCGGUGCUCAACAUCCCCAGUAUCUACGGCGGCUCCAACCUGUGGGGAGACAACGCCUCAUCACGGCGGCGCUCGCGUUCUAAGCGACGCAAGAAACACGACCGGGAUAUCUCCACCAACAGCUUCAACUCGAUCGACCUCAGCAGUGCCGUACAAGACAUCGGCUGAUCGGCUGAUUGAAGUGAUCGGUCUGGAGAGCAGCAUGCACAUGGGCCAAGUCAAAGCUGGUCUUCGAGCUUCGGGUCGCAGACUGGCGCAGUGCUCCUCGGUGGUCAUACGGACAAGGAAAAGGUUUCCGAUGCAAAUUGAUGGUGAGCCUUGGGUACAGCCACCUUGCACGAUACAAAUAACCCACAAGAACCAGAUGCCUAUGCUCAUGGCGCCAGCCCCGACGAACAAGUCCAGGUUCCCUUUCUUCUCCUUCAGGAAGUCGUGAUUCGGAGAUGGGAGCGCCCUCUUACGCCGCUUUCCUCCACUGCUUUCGCUCUUGGCAGCUGCUCGCGUUUGUUGCUGCUCGUGACUGGGCCGAGUUUCGCGCGUUAUGUGUCGUGCCAUUCUCGUGCACCUACAUCGGCUUCCGUGUCGUUGCCGAUGUCGGUUACAGAGACUGCAUUUAGCUGACGCGCAUCUUGUUAACUUAUACCUUGUACAUACAUCUGUAUAGACAUUGCCCAUUCGCCGGCGCUUUACCUUCUUGACCAGGGUCCUAGUGGUGUUCCAAGUGUACUCACUGGCUACUGCUUGAUUGUAUACCUGUGAACGUGCGGGCAUGUGAUUUUAUGCCUGGUAAUACGAUUUUCUCUCAAGAAAGAUUUGUUACUGUGCGCGUGUUUUUGUCGGGUUCCGCUGUGCUGUUCGAGUGAUAAAAUGUUUGUUGAGUUGUGUUAUUACUACGCCUGAACGGAAGACCAGAUGUGUACAGAGUGCUAAACGUUACUGAGCAAAUCGUUAAAGCUUACUUUACGUGGACGAAAGCACCAAGCUUCGUUUCUUUUUACUCUACCAUGAACCGGCUGAUAGAAACGCCUGUUCAUUGUUUAAUCACUUGAAGUCUCCGCAGUAAACAUAAAGCACUAAAUAUUGAGUUGUGCUGCGCGCACGUUCGAUAACAUUAAUUUUGUAUUCUACACAAGUAUAUGACUUAUUAUGACCGCUAAUAUUCUGUUUAGUAUGUACAAAUUUUUUUGCCGCAUCAUUGCAUGAUACACUGCAUAUAUACCAGUGUAAACAAACGAGCGAAAUAUUUUUUUCUCGUUGAAAUUUUAUGUGUGUUGUAAGUGGCGCCCAAAUUGCACUGAAAAGUUAAAGGUGGGAAAAAUAGUUGUCAAUAAGUAUAUACAUUAUGAUUUGGAUUGACUUCGGUAUUAAAACGAACCAGGAAGCGUUAUACAUAUAUUCGGCUUUUAUUAAGUGCUCUGCAACUUCAUAACACUGCGGUAACUCUGCAAGUGCAACUGUUUAAGUUACGUGGCAUCCGAAAUUGCGCCGUAUGCCGUUAUCAUUACGACGCGGUGCGCAGCGCGCAGUGGUUUACGCAUACAGUGCAUACGGUGCAAUUUCGGGCACAUCCAGCGGUAGCCACGGCUCGUGGUCAGACAAGUGCAAUCUCUCUUCCGCGAGCCGCUAGCUGAAACACAUCCCAAAGCCCAGUUCUUUCCUUUGGGUAAACUUUUUGUUGUCUAAUGUGUGAGUACCCGGAAGCGUGCUCCGAAAUGCCCCUUCGCUCACGGAGAAAAAUAUACACUCGCCUGAAGCUAAUGUCCCUAUAUAAGAAAAGUACCGCCAUCCUUUGAUCAACGCCGCUUCGCUCUUUCCUGUAUCUCUGAUUGGACGAUGAUAGC
rnacentral:misc_RNA from 1 species